AUGGUCUGGACCCCUCUCCUUCUCACCCUCCUUGUUCACUGCACAGGAUCCUGGGCCCAGUCUGUGCUGACUCAGACGCCCUCUGUCUCUGGGAACCCAGGCCAGCGGGUCAGUAUUUCCUGUACCGGAAGCAGCACCAACGUCGGGGGUAGCUAUGGUGUGCUAUGGUACCAACAGUUCCCAGACUCGGCUCCCAAACUCCUCAUCUAUGGUAAUAGCAACCGACCUUCAGGGAUUCCGGAUCGAUUCUCAGGUUUGAAGUCUGGCAGCUCUGGCUCCCUGACCAUCACUGGGCUGCAGCCUGAGGAUGAGGCUGUUUAUUAUUGCCACUCCUAUGAUGUUAGCCUGAAUGCUCACACAGUGCUCCAGGCCAACAGGGAAGUGAGACAAAAAACCCCAUUCUCAUCUGCCAGGAGGAGAUUCACUGAAGCUGCCUACUUGAUACCAGCUGGGCCUUCUGCUUAUUCUUGA